CACACACUAAUGGUUGGAGAGAGAGAGUCGUUAACAGCCAAAUAAAGAGCAGUCUUCAAUAAUUUACUCAGCUCUGAGAAGAGAGGGAGUUGGUGCUCGUUUUUUUCCCGGUUGUCUUGAACGCACCGAAUUCUGUUAGUCGAAGAUUUCCCGAGUUCUGACCUCACAGUGGUUUUAAACGCGGCAUGAGUUAAUGCUCAACGUCAUCAUAGCAAAACAUAUCAUUAAAAACAAAUAAACAUUAUGCAAGUUCGCGUAGCAGAAGAUAUGCACACCAUGAGGAUAUAUGGCACAGCGAAGCGUUCAGUAGGAUUUGGGCCAGGCAGACAAGCUACUAUAAAUCAAUCGGACUUAUUCAGUCUGCCAGAGACGCCACACCGUCUCGAUAAGACGCUGGAAUUAGUAGCCUAUUAAAAUAAAACAUUUUGAGUGAGUUUAUGAAUUCGUGAAAGUAAAGCGCCACAGAAGCAUCACAGGAGACCCGAGGCCGGUUGGAACACCCAGCUUUCCUAUGAUUUCACGCCGCUUUCGAAGCAUCCGUACCGGGCGAAGCAUUUCCCCUUUUAUGGGUUCUCCAGACGGGGCUUCUGCUAUUAUCAUCAAAACUACUGUGGUUUGUGACGGUGGUGCGUGUGAAUUUACAGCAGCAACUAGACAAGCCGCGGCGUGUGACACUUCUCUCUGCCCCCGCAUGCAAACUGCUCAAUCGACUUUAACAAGCAAAGAUAUUAGAGUCAAGUUUAUUAUUUCUUUCUCUGGUUUGAUGGACAGACAGUUGUACGUGAAACAGUUUUAUCUGGUUGUCAUAGUGCCUGGAUUUGACCAAUUAAGACUUUAGUAGUGUUUUUUUUUUUACCAUGUUGUAUUAAUUUAAGGACUACACAGCCUUAAAGUUGUAUGCGAAUUGACAUACUAGAGAGCCCUUGGACUGUUUCCAGUCAUGGUGACUAAAUAAAACCCACUUUUAAAAUUA